UUCGACAUUAAUCCAACAUUGAAUGUUGGUUGAAAUUGCGUCGCGAUAUUAUCAACCUAAAUUCAAUGUCUAGCCAACGUCGGUUUUGUAACGUUGUUUCAACGUCCAUAUUUCGACAUUAAUCCAACGUUAAAUGUUGGUUGAAAUUGCGUCGCGAUAUUAUUAACCAAAACUCAAUGUCUAUUCAACGUCGGUUUGGUAACGUUGUUCCAACGUACAUAUUUCGACAUUAAUCUAACGUUGGAUAAAUGUUAAAAUUGCGUCGCGAUAUUAACAACCUCAAACUAACGUCUCUCUGACGUCGGUUUGGUAACGUUGUUCCAACGUACAGAUUUCGACAUUAAUCUGACGUCGAAUAAAAGUUUAAAUUGCGUCACGAUAUUGACAACCGAAAUUCCAUGUCUAUUCAACGUCAGUUUGGUAACGUUGUUCCAACGUACAGAUUUCAACAUUAAUCUGACGUUGAAUAUGCGUUUAAAUUGCGUCACGAUAUUAACAAUGUUAAAUUCAAUGUCUAUCAAUCGUCAGUUUUGUAAUUGUUCCAACGUAUUUUGACAUUAUUCUGAUGUUGGAUAAAUGCUUAAAAUUGCGUCGUGAUAACGACCUAAAUGUACCAACGUCGGUUUGGUAAACUUUGUUUAACAUACGGAUUUUAAUUAGUCCAAAGUUGAAAACAUGUCGAAAUUAAGUGCGUCGCAAUCAAACAUAUUGCAUUGCUUUGAAAUUGAGUAUCCUCGCGGUUACUUCAACGUCAGUCCUGCUGUAUCAAUUAACGUAUAAUUUUAACUAUCAAAGUGCAAAAUAUUAUGUCAAGAAAUAUAAACAAAAUAGCCGACUUAAUUGAACUUUGUGGCCUUUUUUAUGAAAACAUAUUAUUUGUCAGCACGCCAAAGCUGUGACGCUAGCCAAUCACACGGCGCGUAAUUUGUUCUACAUUCCAAGGUUGUGACGCUGGCCAAUCAGUUUUCAUGUACUCUCUUUGAAUCACGAUAUGGCGCGCAAGCAUAUGACCGUUACAUAUUUCGACAUCAUACUGCAGUUGUGUGGACGUGUAGCGUGCAGCCGACAUCAUUUUACUCAAAUAACAGGUAAGAAUUUUGCCAUCAAAAUUCGUAGUUAUUGUUAUGAUGUUGCUUAGACAUACCUGACGUUUAUUCGAAGCACUUACUUAUUAAUUGCAACCAAUUUCUCCCCAAAACGAUAAACAAAUAUUGACACAUCACUGGGGUCGGGGACACUGGCAUGCAUGGUCACUGAUGAUACCGGCGUCCGGUACGUAUGGGAACCAGGUCGACCGCAUGCAUCCCGGCACUCGGAACAGUGUAUUGCUGAGCUGUACUAAAACGGGUUCAAUGGGAAAGUAGUGAGAGAAAUCCUGAGAAAUAAUCCUCCAUUGGCGUUUUGAACUGUACAGUAUAAUGGACGUGUGACUUAAACUUUCCGAGACGAUAUUGUUACCAUGAAUAAAUGUGGCUCAAUUACUGGAUUUCCUUUGUAUUGAAAAGUUGUUUCUGAGGAAAUAGAAAUUGCAUUUUUUUUCACUUGGUAGACCUUAUGGACAUGAAAUGCAUGAUGAUGAAAUGUACUUAAGCCUACCUGGUUAAAAAAAAUAAUAACCAGGAAAAAUAUAAUUCGAUUUUCUGCACUGUAGAGUUUCAGUUUUCAUGUAAUUUUCAGGCUAAAAAGUAAAAAUGGAUCGUCCAAAAGUGAUUGUAGAAUGGAAUGCAGUAUAUUUUCUCGAGGUCAACUACUGCCAUACUGGAUUUCUUCGUACAGCUACACAGCGGUGAUAGGUCGUGGGUCAUGUACAUUAUACCGUUUUACUUCCCCUGAUUAUUAAACCAGGUGGGUUAUCUUCCAUAGGGAAUAGGCCUAUCAAGUGGGGGAUAAACACUCCCGAUUUCGAUUUCACAUGUUGCUGUCACCACCCCGGUGCUCUUGUACAUGUACAAGUCACAAAACGGAGGAAGUUGCUGGGUAGUUCCUUGAUCCUUUGUGUAAAACUAAAAGUUGCUGUGACAAUAGUGAGAAUGCAUAACACAAAUUUCUGUAUCAAAACUUUAGGUAAAUGCAAGCAUGGAUAAUUAUACCGCUGUUUGUAGCCUGUGCUGUGAAUGGUGCAAUAACAAAAUGGACUCACGGUGCAGGGAGUGAGUAAUUACGUAAAUGUAUUGGCCUAAGUAAUCAAUCAUUGCAUAGGCAGGUGGUAUUUCUACAUAAACUUGUUUUUGUUUUGUGUAGAUACUAGACAUGGUUUGCAUAUUUUUUGGGGAGUAUGCAGAGUCUAAGUUUGGCAGGUAGGACAGGUAGGGUAGUUAAUCUCACUUUUUCAGCUUCUGAAGAAAAAAAUCCUUUUCAAAAUUCCAGAAGAGUUUACAAGACCUCACAGAUGACGAAACCCCACUCAGCAAUGAUUCAUACAGGAAUUGAGGAGGAGCCAAAGUCAGCAUGGAUUGUCGAACCAGUAUGGAGGAGUUAUGUAUGACUUUCGAAGAUGCUUCAGUUUGAAAUCUUUCGGACAGUACUCGCAGUGCCGUAGCUGGUGCAUGACCAAGUGAUUGAAGACAGUUCAACAAUGAUGGGCAGAGUGGAACUGAAAAAAAGCAGAUGAGGAGACGGACCUUUUCAGUUUCGCAGCGAGGUCUAGUAACUUCGUAAUCGGGCAAGGUGAUGGAUGUUGCUGCUUGUUGAGUUUUUCAUCUCCUGUCAAGUUUGCGCCUGAAAGAAGAGGUGAUGGAGGGACACACUAAGGGCCCAUGCACCUUCACAUUCAGUCGUACCUUUGGACUGUGUUAAAUAUUUCAAUAUUGGAACAGUUGAUUAAUAGUAAUUGUU